GUGUCUGUAGUGUAGUGGUCAUCACGUUCGCUUUACACGUGAAAGGUCCCUAGCUCGAAACUGGGCGGAAACA